UACAGAGGUCCCGAGCGUUGUUCGGAUUCACUGGGCGUAAAGGGUGCGUAGGUGGCUGGGUAAGUUUGAUGUGAAAGCUCAGGGCUUAACCCUGAAAUGGCAUUGAAUACUACUUAGCUGGAGGUUUGGAGGGGGGACUGGAAUUCUUGGUGUAGCAGUGAAAUGCGUAGAUAUCAAGAGGAACACCAGUGGCGAAGGCGAGUCCCUGGACAACACCUGACACUGAGGCACGAAAGCUAGGGGAGCAAACAGG
rnacentral:rRNA from 1 species